GACGAACGCUGGCGGCGUGCUUAACACAUGCAAGUCGAACGGAAAGGCCCUGCUUUUGUGGGGUGCUCGAGUGGCGAACGGGUGAGUAACACGUGAGUAACCUGCCCUUGACUUUGGGAUAACUUCAGGAAACUGGGGCUAAUACCGGAUAGGAGCUCCUGCUGCAUGGUGGGGGUUGGAAAGUUUCGGCGGUUGGGGAUGGACUCGCGGCUUAUCAGCUUGUUGGUGGGGUAGUGGCUUACCAAGGCUUUGACGGGUAGCCGGCCUGAGAGGGUGACCGGCCACAUUGGGACUGAGAUACGGCCCAGACUCCUACGGGAGGCAACAGUGGGGAAUAUUGCACAAUGGGCGGAAGCCUGAUGCAGCAACGCCGCGUGCGGGAUGACGGCCUUCGGGUUGUAAACCGCUUUCGCCUGUGACAAAGCGUGAGUGACGGUAAUGGGUAAAGAAGCACCGGCUAACUACAUG
rnacentral:rRNA from 1 species